rnacentral:rRNA from 1 species
AAGGUUUCCGUAGGUGAACCUGCGGAAGGAUCAUUAUUGAAUGAAUUUGGUGUGGUUGUUGCUGGCCCUCUUGGGGGCAUGUGCACACCUACCAAUCCUCAUCUCUCCACCUGUGCACCUCUUGUAGAUUUGGAAUUGAUUAUCCGAGGUAACUCGGUCKUGAGGACUGCUAGCACUUAGCUGGCUUUCUUUGCAAUUCCAGGUCUAUGUUUUUCAUAUACCCCAUUGUAUGUAACAGAAUGUAUCAUUGGGCCUUGUGCCUAUAAACCWUAUACAACUUUCAGCAACGGAUCUCUUGGCUCUCGCAUCGAUGAAGAACGCAGCGAAAUGCGAUAAGUAAUGUGAAUUGCAGAAUUCAGUGAAUCAUCGAAUCUUUGAACGCACCUUGCGCUCCUUGGUAUUCCGAGGAGCAUGCCUGUUUGAGUGUCAUUAAAUUCUCAACCAUUAUCAACUUUUGCUGAUAAUGGCUUGGAUGUGGGGGUCUAUUUUGCYGGCUUCUCAGMUAGUCAGCUCCCCUUAAAUGCAUUAGCUGGUGCCCCGCGUGGACUGUCUAYUGGUGUGAUAAUUAUCUACGCUAUAGACAUCUGCAAUCAUAUGGGUUUGCRCUGCYUCUAACAGUCUGUUGAUUCAGACAAUAMAUGACAAUUUGACCUCAAAUCAGGUAGGACUACCCGCUGAACUUAA